AGCAGGCGCAGGAACCGAGAGGGCAGAAGGCAAGGAGGGAUUAAGGCGCCCAGCCUCUGUGGAUCCCACAGAUGCCAGGCAGCAACUGCUUUCCCCGUUUCGUUCCGGUGAACAGAGAAAGGAAAAGAAGAUCCUUUGCCUCCCACCGAGAUAAAAAGGAAGGCGUUCCGACAGAACUCUUCACAGAACUCUUCACCAUCGCCAUCAUCAUCAUCUGCUUUUCUUCUGCUUCGGCGUCAUCCCUUUCUUUUCCUGAUUACAAAAUUCAUACAGGUAAUACAGAAAAGAAAAUGCAGAAAAGCACAAAGAAGAAACUAGAAAACAUUUGUAAUCCUACCAUCUAGAGGGGAUCUUCCUGACCCAGGGAUUGAACCUGUGUCUCCUAUGUCUCCUGCAUUGGCAGCUGAGUUCUUUACCACUAGUGCCACCUGGGAGGCCCUGAGAUAUCACUAGAUUUUCCCAAACAAAACACAUGCCUCGGGAGCCAGGUGUGACAGUGGCAAGCACACACCCUCACCAAUGCUGGAUUUUAAAAAGUCAUCGCCAAGUUGAACCUCAGAUUUGUAAAAGCCACGAAUGCUGUGUGGAACACGUGAGGUUGAGUGCCUG
ensembl:lncRNA